rnacentral:lncRNA from 1 species
CUGCCUCUUAGGCCAAUGUGUUUCUCAUUUUCUCACCAGCAUUUGCAAAGAAUCAACAAUUUCUUUAUUCCCAGUUGAUAUUUAUCACUCCUUUCCUUGGGUUUACGUUCGGCCCUGGGCUCUGAACCACUCAUCAGAACCAGUCAUCAGAACCAGUCAUCAGAACCACUCAUAAGAACCACUCAUCAGAACCAGUCAUCAGAACCACUCAUCAGAACCACUCAUCAGAACCAGUCAAUGUAAGUGAAGUAUGAUACUGUAGUGAUAGAUUAUGAAUAGUUAUAAUUCUUUAGGAACAAUA